UACGAAGGGGGCUAGCGUUGCUCGGAAUUACUGGGCGUAAAGGGCGCGUAGGCGGUACUUCAAGUCAGGCGUGAAAGCCCCGGGCUCAACCUGGGAACCGCGCUUGAGACUGGAGAACUAGAGUUCGGGAGAGGAUGGUGGAAUUCCCAGUGUAGAGGUGAAAUUCGUAGAUAUUGGGAAGAACACCGAUGGCGAAGGCAGCCAUCUGGACCGACACUGACGCUGAGGCGCGAAAGCUAGGGUAGCAAACGGG
rnacentral:rRNA from 1 species